rnacentral:misc_RNA from 1 species
UGACCACUCACGCCUGGCGUGGUGUUGGGGCACGCGGUCUCGCGGCCCUCAAAUCUAGUGGCAGCGCCGGUCGGCUCUCAGCGUAGUAAUUCUUCUCGCUCGAGGGACCGCCCGGUUGCCCGCCAGAACCCCCAACUUCUCAA